CUCCCAAACCCCUGUGAACAUACCACUUGUUGCCUCGGCGGAUCAGCCCGCUCCCGGUAAAACGGGACGGCCCGCCAGAGGACCCCUAAACUCUGUUUCUAUAUGUAACUUCUGAGUAAAACCAUAAAUAAAUCAAAACUUUCAACAACGGAUCUCUUGGUUCUGGCAUCGAUGAAGAACGCAGCAAAAUGCGAUAAGUAAUGUGAAUUGCAGAAUUCAGUGAAUCAUCGAAUCUUUGAACGCACAUUGCGCCCGCCAGUAUUCUGGCGGGCAUGCCUGUUCGAGCGUCAUUUCAACCCUCAAGCACAGCUUGGUGUUGGGACUCGCGUUAAUUCGCGUUCCUCAAAUUGAUUGGCGGUCACGUCGAGCUUCCAUAGCGUAGUAGUAAAACCCUCGUUACUGGUAAUCGUCGCGGCCACGCCGUUAAACCCCAACUUCUGAAUGUUGACCUCGGAUCAGGUAGGAAUACCCGCUGAACUUAAGCAUAUCAAUAAG
rnacentral:rRNA from 1 species